rnacentral:ncRNA from 1 species
ACAUAUCUCUGGAGAGUCCCUAACGGGCGCCGAAGGUGCACGAAAUACACAGUAUUUCUUAUCUCUCAGGCAAAAGGACAGAGCGUGA